rnacentral:rRNA from 1 species
GUGCCUAACACAUGCAAGUCGAACGAGAAAGUGGAGCAAUCCAUGAGUACAGUGGCGUACGGGUGAGUAACACGUGACUAACCUACCCUCGAGUGGGGAAUAACUUCGGGAAACCGAGGCUAAUACCGCAUAACAUCUACGGAUCAAAUGCGUAAGCAGCUUGAGGAGGGGGUCGCGGCUGAUUAGCUAGUUGGCGGGGUAAUGGCCCACCAAGGCAGUGAUCAGUAGCCGGCCUGAGAGGGCGCACGGCCACACUGGAACUGAAACACGGUCCAG